rnacentral:tRNA from 13 species
GCUGGCAUAGCUCAAUUGGUAGAGCAACUGACUUGUAAUCAGUAGGUUAUGGGUUCAAUUCCUAUUGCCAGCACCA